rnacentral:lncRNA from 1 species
GGGCUAUUGGCGAGCUAGCUUAUUACCUGGUUCAGGUUAAGCUGAGCAUUUUAGAAGGAGGGAUAAUAAAAGGACCAGCGCUGACAAUCCUCCAUCAGGAAUUUUUCCUCAUAAAAACUCUCUAGCAAUUGUGCCAGGCUGAAAUGAAUGGAAUGGGGGAAGGAACGAUUGGGGAAAGAGGAUCGAAGACUGGAGAAGAAAACAGGAAAUCAAGAGUCCCAACUGAUUGAAGCAUAGGAGUGACCUUGGAUUUUUCAAAGGAAUAAACAUUAUCAGGCACUUUCUAUAUGGAACCCC